AGAAUCAACGCUGGCGGCGUGCCUAACACAUGCAAGUCGAACGAGAAAGUGGGGCAAUCCAUGAGUAAAGUGGCGCACGGGUGAGUAACACGUGACUAACCUACCUUUUAGUGGGGGAUAACCUAGGGAAACCUGGGCUAAUACCGCAUAAGUCCUACGGGGGAAAGCGGGGGAUCGAAAGACCUCGCGCCGGUGGAUGAGCCGAAGCCGGAUUAGCUAGUUGGUAGGGUAAUGGCCUACCAAGGCGACGAUCCGUAGCUGGUCUGAGAGGACGACCAGCCACACUGGGACUGAGACACGGCCCAGACUCCUACGGGAGGCAGC
rnacentral:rRNA from 1 species